rnacentral:lncRNA from 1 species
GGCACAAGCCCCCCCCCCCAAUAGCUGAGGUGCUAUUGGCAGUUUUUUAGUUGCUGGAUGAGAAAGGAAGUCUAUCCCUUAAUAGAUCAGCCACCAUCCAGUGGAAGACCACACACACAUCAAGGGAUAUUUGGGUAGCACAGUUGGUUUGGAAGAAAAAGGGAAAAUAUACACAAAGUUGGGUGUGAAGUGGGGAGAUCUGGCAAGAGCUGGGGAGGCCGGUGAAUAGGAUCAAGACAUAGAUAGCAGUGCUUAUCUAACAUUCCCUCUGUGAAGACUGUCUUCCCUGUCUUCACACUGGUAGCACCCACGAGUCUUCAUGGGUGUGACAGGGCAUCCCUGACUCCAGAGCUUUCUGCAUCCCUGCUACCUUCUUCCAGUUGACUGUCUCAUACCUGCAUGUUUCCUUGCUGAUGUUUUCCUUGAUGCUUCAGGACUGCUGUGACUUAUUCUCAUUGAAUUCCUCCUCGGCUAGACUCUAAGAUCGUCACACCAGGGUCACCUCGGGACCCCACAGCCCUGAGACCCGAUAACUGCUUAUUACACACUUGCUAAAGAAGCCAACACUGAUCAAGGUAUAAAGAGGCUGGGAUAGGAACCAUGGGGAGGGAGGGAGUGUGGCUGGAUGAUUAGAAAAGUCACUUCUCUGCAGGGAAAUUGAGCUGAAUCUCAGAUGAGGACCAGGAGGCCCUCAGACAGCUGCGGGAGCAGAUUUGAAGACUGACUUCACAGGAAUGAGAAAGUACUUCGGAGAGGCUUCUGGUUUCGUGCAGACAGGAGCAGGAGAAUGCCCGUGUUCACGCUGAACCUCCACUUGGAGUUAGCCCGAGUGUGAAGCAGGACCCAUACAUUGUCACAGCUCUCACCACUCCUGCUUGGGAUUUAACUCAACUCAACUAUAUGACUCCCAGAAGAAAGCAGGCACACAGGGUGGGUCAUGUUACCUGUGAAAGUUCCAUGGAUGGUAGGCACGGGUAAGGGAAUACAUAAUGCCUAAAC